rnacentral:rRNA from 1 species
GCAGAACGCGAAGAACCUUACCAACCCUUGACAUCUGGAUCGCGGGCCGCCGAGAGGUGGUCCUUCAGUUCGGCUGGAUCCGAGACAGGUGCUGCAUGGCUGUCGUCAGCUCGUGUCGUGAGAUGUUCGGUUAAGUCCGGCAACGAGCGCAACCCACACUCUUAGUUGCCAGCAUUCAGUUGGGCACUCUAAGAGAACUGCCGAUGAUAAGUCGGAGGAAGGUGUGGAUGACGUCAAGUCCUCAUGGCCCUUACGGGUUGGGCUACACACGUGCUACAAUGGUGGUGACAGUGGGUUAAUCCCCAAAAGCCAUCUCAGUUCGGAUUGUCCUCUGCAACUCGAGGGCAUGAAGUCGGAAUCGCUAGUAAUCGCGGAACAGCAUGCCGCGGUGAAUA